GAGUGGCGAACGGGUGAGUAAUGUAUCGGAACGUGCCUAGUAGCGGGGGAUAACUACGCGAAAGCGUAGCUAAUACCGCAUACGCCCUACGGGGGAAAGCAGGGGAUCGCAAGACCUUGCACUAUUAGAGCGGCCGAUAUCGGAUUAGCUAGUUGGUGGGGUAACGGCUCACCAAGGCGACGAUCCGUAGCUGGUUUGAGAGGACGACCAGCCACACUGGGACUGAGACACGGCCCAGACUCCUACGGGAGGCAGCAGUGGGGAAUUUUGGACAAUGGGGGAAACCCUGAUCCAGCCAUCCCGCGUGUGCGAUGAAGGCCUUCGGGUUGUAAAGCACUUUUGGCAGGAAAGAAACGUCAUGGGCUAAUACCCCGUGAAACUGACGGUACCUGCAGAAUAAGCACCGGCUAACUACGUG
rnacentral:rRNA from 1 species